AUAAACAAAUUGAAUAAGACUGGACUCACUAUUGAUUCACAGGGAAUGCCACAGACCAGAGGCCUCCUACUCUGCGGACCACAACCCUCUGAGCUCCGCCAUUCAGCCAGCUCUUGAUCCACCUCACUGUCCAUUCAUCUAAUCCAAAUCUCCUGAGUUUACCUACACGGAUAUCACGGGAGACAGUGCAAAACCCUUGUGAAGUCUAGGUGGACAAACCAUUGCUCUCCGCGGGCUCCGGGAAAGAGGGUCGGCCGUUUCAACCGCCGCGCACGAGGGACCUCGAUAAAGGGGGUGAAGAAAGGACCAAAUUCCCCGCAGCAGGAGCUGAAAACAUUUUAUUGACAUUUUUAGAGAACCUGAGCAGCUGUACUUCAAAUGUCCAUGAUGAAGGAAGGUGGAGGGGAUGCUGUGAACUGGUGGCAGACAAGUGUCAAUGCAUGUUCAGUGAAAAUGUAAGCGAUGAGCAGUGAGGGUCCUUUUUGAACUAAACUGGCCCACUUUUUCUUCUCUCCUGCUGACAAGACAAGCAUCAGAAACUUUCAUCAAGCCUGCCUACACUCAGGGAACAUCAGCAGGAAAUUUAGCAAAUAAUUAGCAAUCAGAGUUUACUUGUGAAGAAUCAAGUUGCAGGAAUUCUUUUUUCCAUCUCAGGGUAGUGGGUUGAUAAUGAGGAGUUCCAGUCUGACAUAAAUCCUUGUUUUCUCAUUG